GUGUCAGCAGCCGCGGUAAUACAGAGGGUGCAAGCGUUGUUCGGAAUUAUUGGGCGUAAAGCGCGUGUAGGCGGCUUUGCAAGUCGGGUGUGAAAGCCCUCGGCUCAACCGAGGAAGUGCGCCCGAAACUGCAGAGCUCGAGUGCCAGAGAGGGUGGCGGAAUUCCCCAAGUAGAGGUGAAAUUCGUAGAUAUGGGGAGGAACACCAGUGGCGAAGGCGGCCACCUGGAUGGUGACUGACGCUGAGACGCGAAAGCGUGGGGAGCAAACAGGAUUAGAAACCCUGGUAGUCC
rnacentral:rRNA from 1 species